GUAGGAUCCGAGCGUUAUCCGAAUUUACUGGGCGUAAAGCGCGUGUAGGGCGGGCCAAGUAAGUUGGGACGUGAAAGCUCCUGGCUCAACUAGGAGAGGUCGUUCAAAACUGCCUGGCUAGAGGGCGACAGAGGGAGGUGGAAUUCCCGGUGUAGUGGUGAAAUGCGUAGAUAUCGGGAGGAACACCAGUGGCGAAGGCGGCCUCCUGGGUCGCCCCUGACGCUCAGACGCGAAAGCUAGGGGAGCAAACGGGAUUAGAUACCCCGGUAGUCCUAGCUGUAAACGAUGUGGACUUGGCGUUGGUGGGGUAAAAUCCAUCAGUGCCGUAGCUAACGCGAUAAGUCCACCGCCUGGGGACUACGACCGCAAGGUUA
rnacentral:rRNA from 1 species